AAAAAACUGAAUCAGUGAGUGUUCUCUGACGCCGCCGUGCUCCACACACCGGCGGAUCCGAUGGCUCCGAUUCCGCCUAGGUAACUUCGGCCUCCCUCUCUCAAUUUCAAGAACGAGUUUGUAUGAAUGAAUCGAAUUCCUAUAUGUGAAAAGAAAGUGACGAAAUUACGUACGGUGGCAGAUAAGGCGGAGGAAACGUGGAGGAGGGUUUAGGCGUAUCGGACGCUGGCUUACAGCUUCUGUUUCAAAUGGUUUAGGCAGGAGCCUGCUUCAUAUAUAGGAUUGUUUAAUAAACAGCUUGAUCUUAUUUUGUGUUGGCCAAAUGAUGUGUUCAAACCAAGGAUUUGCUUAAAGAGACGAAGCAAUGGCCUCCAAUCUUUGAUGGAAGCAAUGGCCUCGCUAUCUAUCUAUAAUGAAGGUACCACAAGCAACCUAAACAGUGAGCAUAAGCCCUAUCCAACAGUAAAUUUACGUCAUUUUACUUCCAUUCAUCGUUUUAGGGAGUAGUUUCUGCUAAUUAACUCCUGAGCCUGCGUGCAGUUUUGAAGUUAGCUAGCUAGGAUCGAACUCUUGUGUCUUAGCUUUGCCUGCAAGCCUUGCAUUCCCUUGCAGGGAGAAGCAGAUUAGCCAUAGUCGAAAUACCGAUGAAGGCAUUCCGAGUAGGGAAAAUCAGCCAUACUUGAAGUCUAUGACUGAUUGAAAGACAUACGUGCUGAUGGAUGGCUGUAAAAGUAAUGAUCAGAGUUUCUUGUGUGGUUUUAAGUGUUUCAUCAACAAAUGAAGA
rnacentral:lncRNA from 1 species